rnacentral:tRNA from 1 species
AAACAAGAAACUCCACAGUGCUAUGGUUUCGGCCCAUAAAAAGGCAUAAGUCCAUGCCCUUGUUUU